GUAGGUCCCGAGCGUUGUCCGGAUUUAUUGGGCGUAAAGCGAGCGCAGGCGGAUUGGUCAGUCUGUCUUAAAAGUUCGGGGCUUAACCCCGUGAUGGGAUGGAAACUGCCAAUCUAGAGUAUCGGAGAGGAAAGUGGAAUUCCUAGUGUAGCGGUGAAAUGCGUAGAUAUUAGGAAGAACACCAGUGGCGAAGGCGACUUUCUGGACGAAAACUGACGCUGAGGCGCGAAAGCCAGGGGAGCGAACGGGAUUAGAUACCCCGGUAGUCCUGGCCGUAAACGAUGGGUACUAGGUGUAGGAGGUAUCGACCCCUUCUGUGCCGGAGUUAACGCAAUAAGUACCCCGCCUGGGGAGUACGACCGCAAGGUUGAAACUCAAAGGAAUUGACGGGGGCCCGCACAAGCGGUGGAGUAUGUGGUUUAAUUCGACGCAACGCGAAGAACCUUACCAGGUCUUGACAU
rnacentral:rRNA from 1 species